rnacentral:lncRNA from 1 species
GCCCGGGCACAGUGGCUCACACCUGUAAUCCCUAUACUUUGGGAGGCCAAGGCAGGAGGAUUGCUUGAGCCCAGGAGUUCCAGACUAGCCUGGGCAACGGAGUGAGACCCUAUCUCUACAAAGAUAAUUUUUUUUUUCACCAGUUGUCAAAUGAUCCUUUAUUAAAAUAUUUUCCUUUGUGCUUCUUAAGUAACUGGGUGGCCAGGUGUGGUGGCUCACUCCUGUAAUCCCAGCACUUUGGGAGGCUGAGGCGGGCAGAUCACGAGGUCAGGAGACAGAGACCACGGUGAAACCCCGUCUCUACCAAAAAAAAUGCAAAAAAAUUAGCCGGGCACGGUGGCAGGCACCUGUAGCCCCAGCUACUCCAGAGGCUGAAGCAGGAGAAUGGCGUGACCCUGGGAGGUGGAGCUUGUAGUGAGCCGAGAUCACACCACUGCCCUCCAGCCUGGGUGACGGAGCGAGACUCCGUCUUUAAAAAAAAAAAAAAGGUAGCUAGGCUUUCCACAGCACCACUGUUGAUGUCAUCUAUGAUGUCAUGAGGGUGGCAACCAUCAACAUUACAGCCCGCAGAAUGGGCAGUCCCCGAGAUCCCUUUAAUGGUUGCAGAGAGGUCUCUGGCUAAAGAUUGGUGCUGCAUCUGUUGAGCAAUGUUGAAGAUCUCAUCAAACGUGAUAUUCCCACGGUGUUUAAUGUUUUUCCGUUUCUUUCUGUCUCUUGGUGGUUCCUUGAGGGCUUUGAUGAUCAGGGCAGAGGCAGAAGGCACUACCUCAAUCUGGGCCUGUCUGUUCUGACUGGUCAGUUUCACUGUAAUCCUCAGGCCUUUCCAGUCACCCUUUGCCUUGGCAAUGUCAUCACCAACCUUUUUUGGAGACAGACCCAAGGGGCUGAUCUUGGGGGCCAGCAUAGAAGUGGCACCAACUUCACCCCUGGUGCACCUCAGAUUCUUCUGGGAUGGCUUAUGUAUCGUUGAGCUCCCGUGCUGCAGCUCUGCUUGGCAGAGUCCUGGAGACCCGCAGGACCAGCCUAGAAGAGGAUGGAAGGCGGCUGGUAUCUCACCCUGCACCACCUUGUCUGACCCACAUCUAUUUUCUAGCGCCUCCUCAAAUUGA